rnacentral:rRNA from 1 species
UUUCUUUAAGAAAAGAAUUUAAAGUAAAACCUGCUCAAUGUCAACGUAUCAAUAGCCGCAGAAUCCUCUGUGCUAAGGUAGCAUAAUCACUAGCUUUUUUAUUGAAAGAUAGAAUGAAAGGAGAAACGAAAUAAUACUGUUUCUUAUUAAUAAAUAAAUUUAAUAUUCUUGUAAAAACCCAAGAAUAAAACAACAAGACGACAAGACCCCGCCAAACUCAUAAACAUUUAGUUGGGGAAACAUAAUAAAAAAACUUUAAUAAAAUAAACGCACCUACCAAAUAUAAUUUAAUUUGACAAGUUACUGCGGGGAUAACAGCGCUAUCUUUCUCUAGAGCUCACAUCCUAAGAAAGGCUUACGACCUCGAUGUUGAAUUAAUUUAACUAAUAUAACGCAAAAGCUUAAAAAGUCAGUCUGUUCGACUAAUAAAUAAUU